AUUGAACGCUGGCGGCAUGCCUUACACAUGCAAGUCGAACGGCAGCACGGGAGCAAUCCUGGUGGCGAGUGGCGAACGGGUGAGUAAUAUAUCGGAACGUGCCCAGUCGUGGGGGAUAACGUAGCGAAAGCUACGCUAAUACCGCAUACGAUCUAUGGAUGAAAGCGGGGGGAUCGCAAGACCUCGCGCGAUUGGAGCGGCCGAUAUCAGAUUAGGUAGUUGGUGAGGUAAAGGCUCGCCAAGCCGACGAUCUGUAGCUGGUCUGAGAGGACGACCAGCCACACUGGGACUGAGACACGGCCCAGACUCCUACGGGAGGCAGCAGUGGGGGAAUUUUUGGGACAAUGGGCGCAAGCCUGAUCCAGCAAUGCCGCGUGCAGGAUGAAGGCCUCGGUUGUAACUAGCUUUGUUACGGUAACGAACGGUACGGAGACGUCUAACU
rnacentral:rRNA from 1 species